rnacentral:rRNA from 1 species
GACGAACGCUGGCGGCGUGCUUAACACAUGCAAGUCGAACGAUGAAGCUGGAGCUUGCUCCGGUGGAUUAGUGGCGAACGGGUGAGUAACACGUGAGAAAUCUGCCCUUGACUCUGGGAUAACUGCGGGAAACUGUAGCUAAUACCGGAUACUUUCCCUGGUGGGCAUCCACUGGGGAAGAAAGAAUUUCGGUCAAGGAUGAUCUCGCGGCCUAUCAGCUAGUUGGUGAGGUAAUGGCUCACCAAGGCGACGACGGGUAGCCGGCCUGAGAGGGUGACCGGCCACACUGGAACUGAGACACGGUCCAGACUCCUACGGGAGGCAGCAGUGGGGAAUUUUCCGCAAUGGGCGAAAGCCUGACGGAGCAAUACCGCGUGAGGGAAGAAUGCCUAUGGUGUAAACCUCUUUUUCAGGGUAGGAAUAAAAUGACGUGUACCUGAAGAAUAAGCAUCGGCUAACUCCGUG